rnacentral:rRNA from 1 species
CAUGAGUUAUGUCAUGUUAUCGACAUGUGAAUUCAUAGCAUGUCAGAAGGCAGACCCGGAGAACUGAAACAUCUUAGUACCCGGAGGAAGAGAAAGAAAAAUCGAUUCCCUGAGUAGCGGCGAGCGAAACGGGAAGAGCCCAAACCAACAAGCUUGCUUGUUGGGGUUGUAGGACACUCUAUACGGAGUUACAAAAGAACAUGUUAGACGAAUCAUCUGGAAAGAUGAAUCAAAGAAGGUAAUAAUCCUGUAGUCGAAAACAUAUUCUCUCUUGAGUGGAUCCUGAGUACGACGGAGCACGUGAAAUUCCGUCGGAAUCUGGGAGGACCAUCUCCUAAGGCUAAAUACUCUCUAGUGACCGAUAGUGAACCAGUACCGUGAGGGAAAGGUGAAAAGUACCCCGGAAGGGGAGUGAAAGAGAACUUGAAACCGUGUGCUUACAAGUAGUCAGAGCCCGUUAAUGGGUGAUGGCGUGCCUUUUGUAGAAUGAACCGGCGAGUUACGAUCUGAUGCAAGGUUAAGCAGCAAAUGUGGAGCCGCAGCGAAAGCGAGUCUGAAUAGGGCGUUGAGUAUUUGGUCGUAGACCCGAAACCAGGUGAUCUACCCUUGGUCAGGUUGAAGUUCAGGUAACACUGAAUGGAGGACCGAACCGACUUACGUUGAAAAGUGAGCGGAUGAACUGAGGGUAGCGGAGAAAUUCCAAUCGAACUUGGAGAUAGCUGGUUCUCUCCGAAAUAGCUUUAGGGCUAGCCUCAAGUGAUGAUUAUUGGAGGUAGAGCACUGUUUGGACGAGGGGCCCCUCUCGGGUUACCGAAUUCAGACAAACUCCGAAUGCCAAUUAAUUUAACUUGGGAGUCAGAACAUGGGUGAUAAGGUCCGUGUUCGAAAGGGAAACAGCCCAGACCACCAGCUAAGGUCCCAAAAUAUAUGUUAAGUGGAAAAGGAUGUGGCGUUGCCCAGACAACUAGGAUGUUGGCUUAGAAGCAGCCAUCAUUUAAAGAGUGCGUAAUAGCUCACUAGUCGAGUGACACUGCGCCGAAAAUGUACCGGGGCUAAACAUAUUACCGAAGCUGUGGAUUGUCCUUUGGACAAUGGUAGGAGAGCGUUCUAAGGGCGUCGAAGCAUGAUCGCAAGGACAUGUGGAGCGCUUAGAAGUGAGAAUGCCGGUGUGAGUAGCGAAAGACGGGUGAGAAUCCCGUCCACCGAUUGACUAAGGUUUCCAGAGGAAGGCUCGUCCGCUCUGGGUUAGUCGGGUCCUAAGCUGAGGCCGACAGGCGUAGGCGAUGGAUAACAGGUUGAUAUUCCUGUACCACCUAGUAUCGUUUUAAUCGAUGGGGGGACGCAGUAGGAUAGGCGAAGCGUGCUGUUGGAGUGCACGUCCAAGCAGUAAGGCUGAGUGUUAGGCAAAUCCGGCACUCAUAAGGCUGAGCUGUGAUGGGGAGAGGAAAUUGUUUCCUCGAGUCGUUGAUUUCACACUGCCGAGAAAAGCCUCUAGAUAGAUAACAGGUGCCCGUACCGCAAACCGACACAGGUAGUCAAGAUGAGAAUUCUAAGGUGAGCGAGCGAACUCUCGUUAAGGAACUCGGCAAAAUGACCCCGUAACUUCGGGAGAAGGGGUGCUCUUUAGGGUUCACGCCCAGAAGAGCCGCAGUGAAUAGGCCCAAGCGACUGUUUAUCAAAAACACAGGUCUCUGCUAAACCGUAAGGUGAUGUAUAGGGGCUGACGCCUGCCCGGUGCUGGAAGGUUAAGAGGAGUGGUUAGCUUCUGCGAAGCUACGAAUCGAAGCCCCAGUAAACGGCGGCCGUAACUAUAACGGUCCUAAGGUAGCGAAAUUCCUUGUCGGGUAAGUUCCGACCCGCACGAAAGGCGUAACGAUUUGGGCACUGUCUCAACGAGAGACUCGGUGAAAUCAUAGUACCUGUGAAGAUGCAGGUUACCCGCGACAGGACGGAAAGACCCCGUGGAGCUUUACUGUAGCCUGAUAUUGAAAUUCGGCACAGCUUGUACAGGAUAGGUAGGAGCCUUUGAAACGUGAGCGCUAGCUUACGUGGAGGCGUUGGUGGGAUACUACCCUAGCUGUGUUGGCUUUCUAACCCGCACCACUUAUCGUGGUGGGAGACAGUGUCAGGCGGGCAGUUUGACUGGGGCGGUCGCCUCCUAAAAGGUAACGGAGGCGCUCAAAGGUUCCCUCAGAAUGGUUGGAAAUCAUUCAUAGAGUGUAAAGGCAUAAGGGAGCUUGACUGCGAGACCUACAAGUCGAGCAGGGUCGAAAGACGGACUUAGUGAUCCGGUGGUUCCGCAUGGAAGGGCCAUCGCUCAACGGAUAAAAGCUACCCCGGGGAUAACAGGCUUAUCUCCCCCAAGAGUUCACAUCGACGGGGAGGUUUGGCACCUCGAUGUCGGCUCAUCGCAUCCUGGGGCUGUAGUCGGUCCCAAGGGUUGGGCUGUUCGCCCAUUAAAGCGGUACGCGAGCUGGGUUCAGAACGUCGUGAGACAGUUCGGUCCCUAUCCGUCGUGGGCGUAGGAAAUUUGAGAGGAGCUGUCCUUAGUACGAGAGGACCGGGAUGGACAUACCUCUGGUGUACCAGUUGUCGUGCCAACGGCAUAGCUGGGUAGCUAUGUAUGGACGGGAUAAGUGCUGAAAGCAUCUAAGCAUGAAGCCCCCCUCAAGAUGAGAUUUCCCAACUUCGGUUAUAAGAUCCCUCGAAGAUGACGAGGUUAAUAGGUUCGAGGUGGAAGCGUGGUGACACGUGGAGCUGACGAAUACUAAUCGAUCGAAGACUUAAUCAAUUUUUAAA